UCUAAAACAUACAUCUAACAGUCUCCCACUUGACCUAAAGUCAAUUGACUAUAAAUCUAAGUUUCAUCUUCUCAAGAUGGGCUUCAGUCUUUUGCUGGCUCAAUUACUUCGUCAGUAGGUCAGCCAUAUUGUCUGCGGUAUUGACUCUCUUCACUUCGAUGCAUCCCUUCUCGAGGUAAUCGCGGAUGAGAUGGAAUCAUUGCUCGAU
rnacentral:lncRNA from 1 species